AUUGAACGCUGGCGGCAGGCCUAACACAUGCAAGUCGAACGAGUGGCGGACGGGUGAGUAAUGUCUGGCAAACUGCCCGAUGGAGGGGGAUAACUACUGGAAACGGUAGCUAAUACCGCAUACCAUCGGAUGUGCCCAGAUGGGAUUAGCUUGUAGGUGAGGUAACGGCUCACCUAGGCGACGAUCCCUAGCUGGUCUGAGAGGAUGAACAGUCAAAAGGGAACGGAGAAGCGGUCCAGACUGCUACGGGAGGCAGCAUGGGGGAAUAUUGCACAAGGGGCGCAAGCCUGAUGCAGCCAUGCCGGGUGUAUGAAGAAGGCCUUCGGGUUGUAAAGUACUUGCAGCGGGGAGGCGUUACCCGCAGAAGAAGCACCGGCUAACUCCGUGCCAGCAGCCGCGGUAAUAC
rnacentral:rRNA from 1 species